AACGGCGCGGCUCAGGGCGCCCCCUUUCGUCUAGGCGGAGUCACAGCCCCUUGGGAUGGGGUUUCCGCCGGCGCAGCUACCUCGGUUCUCUGGCCACUUGGCCAAGACGACAGGCAGCUGAGGCUGAAACCUGAGAAACUCCUCUGUCUGACGCACUGCCCUUUGUCCACCGACCGGCAGAAGCAUCCUCGUCUCCUGCAAGAGACCUGACUGGCUUCUCCUUUUCCGGAGAUGUGAGGGUGAACAACCUGGUUUCACACCAUUGGGUUACAGAAAUAUUGUAUUGGAUAAGACCUCCAAGAUUUCCUUAACAGUGAACAUCUGUUCAUAAUCAAAUAUGUGACAAAUGGCCCUUGAAACCCAAGAAUGGUCAGCUGACCAGGGAAGAGAGCAUCAGACAUAGACAAGAUAGAUAAUUGGAAACAGGGAAAUCUUUUACAAAUGUGAAAGGGACCAAGAGAUGGGGGGGCGGUUUAAGAGAGUUAAGAUGUGUUAUGUACCUGUACC